rnacentral:misc_RNA from 1 species
AAAGUCGUAACAAGGUAUCCGUAGGUGAACCUGCGGAUGGAUCAUUAACGUGGCUCUGAAAGAUGUGUAGCAAUGCAUGUUCUUUUUCAGGCUAUAACAAAACAUACCCUUGUGGUUUAAUAGUAUAAACGUAUGUGUUUAGAGGAGGUUGGUGGAUGUGUUGAGAGGAUGUUUGUUAAGAAUGUACUCUCUCUGCCGCCAGCCUCAUUCUCUAUAAUAUAAACUUUAUUAACCUUUUCUUAAAUGUCUAAAGCAUUCUUGCGAUUUCUCUUUCGAGAGAACUACCAAGUAAAACAACGAGUAAUCUAAUACAACUGCUAGCAACGGAUCACUCGGCUCUC